GCUGGCGUCCUGCAGUGACGUUUUUAAUAACUUUUUCUCAAGGGCCUUAGGACUUCUCCCUAGGAGUUCUGGAAUGCUGAUCUGACGUCACAACAAAAAGAAAGUACUGUGGAAACUCACCUGCCUGCUUUGGGAAACUGAAGAACUAAGGACUGAUAGGACAGCUUUGUGCUCUUGGCUUACUCUAUGAUAUAGACACAUUCGCAUAGUGACUAGCCUUAAAAUUUAUAAUCCCUGGGGUUUGUUUGGUUUUGUUUUUAAUGAUAAAGGUGGACUCUGAUUUGGAAAAUAAGGAUCACACCACACCCUGCAAUUUUGUUUGUGUGGGACAGCUUGACCUGAGAGAUGUGUGCUCGAGGAGCUUUGCCUGGUGGAGGUGGGAUCCGGACUUCAGCAGCAGUUGACUCGCGCUCACACUAGUAAUCUGGCAUUCAGCAAUAAGGUAAAUGAGUCAACAGCACAAUCUCACUAGUCACACACACACACAAAAAAAAAAAGCUGUAAUUGAGAAGCAAAGCUUUGUGUCCACGAUUUUUCUCAGUGCCAAGACAAUGAGCAGCAGGCAGCUACAAUGAAAGAUUCUAAAUCAGCCCAGCAGUGACAGGUCCCAGCUGGCCUGACUCAUUCUUCAGGUCACAGACAAGCGGGCUCGAGCCCAGCUAUGAUUUUUAAAUGAAAAUGUCACCCAAAAGA